AGUCAAGAAACUACUAAAAUUAUAAAUUUACUCAUGCUUCGACCUUCUGCAAAUCAAGAAAUUAAAAAACAAUUAUUUCAAUUCUUGAACAUCAUUUCACAUUUCAAAGUCAAAUUCACAGCAUGUGAUAUGGUACCACUCGAUCAAACACUUUUAGUCAAUAUUUGUUCCACAAUUACGGCUUACCUCGUAAUAAUAAUACUAAUUCGCAUAAAUUUAUCACCUUAUAUCAAUUAGACGACAACUAUUGAUUAACAUCAAACUCCAUCAAGUGAUUUUUUUUAGUUGUGAAGUCAGUAUUAAUACACUUCAAGUUUUCAAAGUGUGUAACUAUAAUUUUUGUCAAAUACCUAGCAUGCUAAUUAUUAUCAUUAAGUACUGAUGAGUUUCGAGUACGUAUUUAUUGAUUCACGGUUUAAAUAAAUGAAGAUAAGCAACUAUUUAAGAGAGGAAACUAGGUCUAAAUCGAUUAUAUUCCAACAGGUUUCAGAUGUUUUUUAUUGUGACCACUUAC